GCCUGUGGCCAUACCACCCUGAACACACCCAAUCUCGUCUGAUCUCGGAAGCUAAGCAGGGUCCAGCCUGGUUAGUACUUGGAUGGGAGAAAUCUACUCCAAGGAAAGGCAUGUGAAAUGGAUC
rnacentral:rRNA from 1 species